AACGAACGCUGGCGGCAUGCCUAGCACAUGCAAGUCGAACGAGACCUUCGGGUCUAGUGGCGCACGGGUGCGUAACGCGUGGGAACCUGCCCUUAGGUUCGGAAUAACUCCCCGAAAGGGGUGCUAAUACCGGAUAAUGUCUUCGGACCAAAGAUUUAUCGCCUUUGGAUGGGCCCGCGUUGGAUUAGCUAGUUGGUAGGGUAAAAGCCUACCAAGGCGACGAUCCAUAGCUGGUCUGAGAGGAUGAUCAGCCACACUGGGACUGAGACACGGCCCAGACCCCUCGGGGGGGGAGCAGGGGGGAAAUUUGGAAAAGGGGCGAAAGCCUGACCCAGCAAUGCCGGGUGAGGGAUGAAGGCCUUAGGGUUGUAAAGCUUUUUUACCCGGGAUGAUAAUGACAGUACCGGGAAAAAAAGCCCCGGCUAACUCCGU
rnacentral:rRNA from 1 species